GACAGAGGGGGCAGGCGUUGCUCGGAAUUACUGGGCGUAAAGGGCGCGUAGGCGGAAUGGCAAGUCGGUCGUGAAAUCCUUCGGCUCAACCGAAGAACGUCGAUCGAAACUGCCGUUCUUGAGGAUUGCAGAGGAGACUGGAAUUCCCGGUGUAGCGGUGAAAUGUGUAGAGAUCGGGAGGAACACCGGUGGCGAAGGCGGGUCUCUGGGCAAUUCCUGACGCUGAGGCGCGAAAGCGUGGGGAGCAAACGGG
rnacentral:rRNA from 1 species